UACAGAGGUCCCAAGCGUUGUUCGGAUUUACUGGGCGUAAAGGGCGCGUAGGCGGCGCAACAAGUCAGUUGUGAAAUCUCCGGGCUUAACCCGGAGCGGCCAAGUGAUACUGUCGUGCUAGAGUGCGGAAGGGGCUACUGGAAUUCUCGGUGUAGCGGUGAAAUGCGUAGAUAUCGAGAGGAACACCGGCGGCGAAGGCGGGUAGCUGGGCCGACACUGACGCUGAUGCGCGAAAGCCAGGUGAGCGAACGGG
rnacentral:rRNA from 1 species